AUCGCUUCUCGGCCUAUGGCUAAGAUCAAAGUGUAGUAUCUGUUCUUAUCAGCUUAAUAUCUGAUACGCAAUUCAUAGAAUUGCCAGAAUAUUAGCUAGAUUUUUGUAAAAUGGUGGAAUUUCGGAGCUUGCUUCGAGUCUGCCGCGGGUUGAGCCGGUCUUGCAGUACUGCCGGAUUCAGCCCAACAUUA
rnacentral:snRNA from 1 species